GCAACAGUUCCGAUUAGACCCCCUAGCCUGGCGUGGGUGUGGCCCUAAAAAGACAAAAAAAAAGCAAAAAAAAAGUGGUUCAAAUAUUUAGAGUCCUCUGGUAUUGCCUACUUGAAAAAUAAAUUUUGAUGAAAUGAAUCAAGGGGUUAUGUUUGCAAAUAUUAGGCCAGGUGGAUCCUCUCUCAGAAUUUAUUCUACCACUCCUACUAUUAAUGACCACCAGGUCAGGAGGAAGUGUCACUUAUUUUGGCUGUUGGUGGCAUUUCAGGUUUUGGUGUGAAAUGGAGAUUGUGCCAUCAUGAUUGGUAAGUAAUAGGUGCGGAAGCACUUUGAAAAACAUUUUGAAGAGCUAUGCCAGUGAGUGGUAUUAUUAUUAAUGCUCCUUGGUGAUUCUCAUUGGAGAGGGUGGUGUUGUGUGGCCUGGGGAAGGGUUUUGGAAACAGCUGGAUCUACGUUCUUACUGGUUGUGUGAUCUUAGUGGGUAGAUCAGUUAACCUGACUCAUCUUCAGAAGAAAUAGUUCAUAGCUGUCCCUACUCAGUCCUUUCACUCUGCUCUGCUAGUUUUUGGGGUAAGAGGUCAGCUUUCUUUGGUCUCAUCUGGAAACUUCAGUAGUGCCAAGUCCCAUCUCGGAGUUAAAUUCAAGACUUUUCCCUUUAUCAACCCCCAAACUGGUUUCUCUUUCCAGAGCUUUCUCUCUGGGAAGCUCUUCUCAUCCCUAAGAAAAGCAACCAGUUGCCUUUCAUUGUUUUUUGACUCCUUGGCUACAGGGCUCUAGAACUUCAAAGCGGUUCAGAAGGACAUGUCCAGGGGGCCCAGGGAGGCAGAGGAACAGGUCAGGCUCAGCCGUUUCCUACCUAGCACCCUGCCUUCCUCGCCCACCACCUCCAUGCUCCCCAAGGAUGGCGCUUGGCUCUUUGUCCUUUUCUUACUGUCAUUUGAGAGGGCUGCACCAGGAAGGAAUGCCUGGGGACCAUGCAAACUGCAAAGGGAUGGAGAAGUCCCACGUGGUGUGUGAGCAGGAACAUCAUUCCUGCCCUGCUGAGAGGCAACUAUGAUUUGUACGUGAGAAUCUGGACUUGGCCACCAGGAACCCCGGCAGGGAGCUCUGUGGCCUUGGGCUGAUUUCAGCCUCCUCACUGCUCAAACAGGGGUUGCAGUUGACAAUGGCUAAAAGUCCACGGCAGAGGCAACAGCGCUUUUUGUUGCUCUGGUGCUUCCUGUCCCAAGGAAGGGGGCUGGUCCUCACUCGAGGGCACUCCUUGAUGGGUCCUGGGGUCCCCAGGAUGGUACUACGGUACCCCCGACUCUGGUUUCUUCUUUAAAGUGACCUUUUUAAUUCCUUCUUUGGCCAUUUUCUAAGAAUCUGAUCAGUACCUAUUCCUUUGUGAAUUUUAUUUCCUUUAAAGUCAAGAAACUCAGAUGAAGCCACCAGGAUCAGGGCGUUUUCUUCUUCUGGUUCCCUGUGUGAAUAAAGGUUACUGUUGGAAGAAGGUGGGGUGGUUACAUUAAAUUCAUGGCUUUGAUGCUGCAUCUUGACAUGUAAAAAUGAAGGAAAAGGGGGAGGGGACCCCAACCCAAGCCAGGAGGCUCCUUUGGAGUGGCUAGAAAAAUCAUUGCACUAAGCCACAAUAAACAUCAAUCUGCAGGUAUGUUAUAAUUUUCUGUUUUUAAGAGAACAUUGAAUGGCCGUAACUGCUUUUGUAUUGGAGCAGGAAGGCUGGACCCAAACCUGAAAAUCUUUCAUCUGUUAUCCCUAAUACAUGCUCACAAGUACAUCGCAGUCUUGAGCAAGUACAAUUAAAAAGGGGGUAAUCCUUUUUUCAAGUCCUCAGGUUUAAUUUUCAUGAUUAUGGUAGAUUACGAGUCAUUCUGAGUCUCGGUCUCCAGGAGAGACAGCGCCUUCUCUUCAGUCCCUUUCAACAGUUGUUUAUGGCAGUUUCAGCCUCUUUCUGCCUCUCGGAGGCUCUUUAUUUUUAAAGCAAGGCAGACAAGGCCUAAAAUUAUUCCAUUAAAGAGGGGCAAUUUUUGUAAUGGGACUUAGAGUGCUUUGCAGAAGUGCAGGCAAGUUUCUUCAAUAUCCUGAGCAUUAUUCGCUCAUUUAGUUAAAUGAUGUUUCUAAUUCCCUGGUAAUUACGUGUAAUGAGGCACUUUUUCUCUUCUUGAUGAGACUUUAGCCUAAUAUGAGAUGGCGUAUUUUUUUCUUUUUUUUUUUUUUCCAUGGGGAUAAUUACCCCUUCCCAGGAAAAGCAGGGUUUGUUGUGCAGAAUAUAGCAAAUUAUUUUAUUUCCUGCCAUCUUGACUGCCAGUAAAUUAUAAAAUUAAGUUUCAGUGGCGCAUUAGCACCAUUUUGGAAAAAGCUCCAGACUAUUUUUCUUUUUCUUUUCUUUUCUUUUUUUCUUUCUUUCUUUUCCUUUUCCUUUUUUUUUUUUUUAAAUUCAUGUACUGCUGUCCUCUGGGACUGUAGAGGCUAUUAUUCAUAGAAUAGAUGUUUUUCUGCCAAUUCCUAGUAUUCAGCUGUAUUGAAGCAGCAACAUAGGUUUAAUUUUUCUGGCUGAUAUCCAGUGUAGAAUGUUCUUGUAAGCGUCUUUGUGUUCGGGUAAUUAUCAUCACAAAGUUAAGUAAUAUGUCCUCUCUUUUCUCUGCUCUCCCCUCACUCCUCCUUUGGAUGUCAAAUUAUCUUUUUUUGUGCAAUGCUUCAAUUAGAUGCAAAGCAACUAAAUUUGAAUCACACGAAGGUGGUGACACCAACUAUUAAAAAGCAAGAAAUUCAGAGUUAAUAUAGAGUCUCUCUACUUAACUCUUCCUGUUGUUAAAAAAGCAAAUUUGAAGAGAGGAAAAUAUGAAGAGAACAUCAUUAAUUAAGGACAAUGUCAUGUUGAACUUCAGGUUCCUGUAUUCAGUUAUUUUUACUGAUUUUAGGAAUAGCACAUGUGAGCCUGCGUGUCCGCGUAUGAGUGUGUGUAUCUGUCUGCUUCUGCUUUUCUGCUCUUUGUUUCUGAAAAAGAAAUUUUUCUUAGGAAGAAGCAGCAGAAUCAGGUGGAAAGAAAAAGAGAGCCUGGGACUGGGAGUCAGGGGCUUGAGUUUCGGGGUUGACUCUGUCUGCCCCCCACUCCAGCUGUGUGGCUUGCGUCUGACUACCUCUUGGAGGCUCAGUUCCCUCUGGAAAAUGCGUGGGUUCUAACGUGAACUCUAAGUGUUUAGGAACCUGAAAGGUUUGCAUUUUAAUUGGUGAAAGGUCAUGUAUUGGGGUUGUUCCAAAGCAUACUAGAUUUGGGAUUUGUGAGUGUGUGUGUGUGUGUGUGUGUGUUUUGUGGCUUCCUCUGCCCCACCUCCGUACCUCCAAUAUGACGCUGGUUCCCACGGGUCCUCAUGGCCCAGUCCCUGGCUUGCCAGUGGCCUGUCUGGUGUCUCCUAAACUCCUGCCCAGCGUGUGUCCCCUGAGGACGAGUAUUUCAUGCUGGUGAACCCAGGAUGCUUCAGCUCAGCACUGUUUCUCUUUGGUGGGAAUGUGUCGCUGUGGCUUCUGACCGAUGUCCCAGUAUUUUCCUCUUGAAGGUGACCAAAGACUCCUUUGUCCUUUUUGGAUGUGGGUGGAUUUCUCCACGUUUGGGGGAUGAGGCAUGUUCACUGAAAUGAUGAGUCUUUCUCACAUGUGUAAUUAGCUUGCAAUGAAAACCUCCCAUCUGGAGUUUUUAUUUUAUUUCAGGGUAAUUCCGUUUUAGGAUAUUUGUGUUGCUUACUUCGUUUUUCCCCUUGGGAUCACGGAGGAGGUUUACGUGCUGUUUCUGAUGGAUCCUCUGUAGGCUCAGCUCCAGGCCCAUCCCUGCCCAGCUCAGCACCUGCCAGGAGCUCCCUGUCGACCACAGAACACUGUAAACACCACAUACCAGCGUGGACCAGAAGUUGGAUCCCAGAGUCAGACAGAUGAGUCCUAGAUUUAAAAGGCCGAAUAAUAAUCCACCACGUGGAGAGACUACAUUGGACUUAUCCGUUCAUCCAUCGGUGGACAGAUGGGGUUGUCUGGGUUGUGUCCACCUGCUGGCUGUUGUGAAGUGGGCUGUUGGGAACAGGACAUAGAGCCGGCUGCCUUCCACAUCGGGGGUGAACCUCCUGUCUCCGGGGCGUCUGGAUGCUGAGAGUGUGGCCCAUUUCCGUGAGCCGAGACCCAGUUGGCGCCUGCGCAACAGCACCAGGAGCACAGGAUGGGCGUGGACCAGACAGUUCGUGAACAGGACUGAGAGACGAAAGACCCUUCUCCUGGGUGUUACCUCUGACAUCUUGCUUGUUAGAACUGGAGAGAGAAAAAAAUGGACCCCAGGAAUGGAGCUGCAGGGACCCUGGAAAAAGGGGACACCAUCACGCCACCGUUGAGUUCUGUCAACUGUCAAGUUAAUUAGAACGAAAUUAAAAACACAUUUGCCAAGAUGUUCCGCAGCCAAACCAGUUAAAUAGAGAUUUUAACAAAAUUGAAAGCAUAUUAUACUGAGAUUUGUGGAUCCUGGCCCGAAACACUCACCAAUGGAAAUAUCUGAAGACAGUCCUGUUAGUUUAGACUAGUGGCUGCUGAUCUGGGUGCCCUCGUUUGUCUGUGCCACAGCCUGGCUUUCCCUUGGACCGGAGAACAUGCUAUCUACAAAAGCAAACCCACAGAUGUCUUUAAUCAGGACAGAAUCCCUCACACAGCCUGAUCUGUGCAAAUUCAAGAACUCUUGCUGUCUAGUUUGAAUAAAAGCCAAGAUAAAUGG